GAUCGCUGCGAUCGGGCGGUUCGCCGCCCGCGACUCGGCGAGAAAUCCAUUGAACCUUAUCAUUUAGAGGAAGGANAAGUCGUAACAAGGUUUCCGUAGGUGAACCUGCGGAAGGAUCAUUG
rnacentral:rRNA from 1 species